rnacentral:miRNA from 1 species
CUAGGGGGUUUGCCCUUG